UACAGAGGAUGCAAGCGUUAUCCGGAAUUACUGGGCGUAAAGCGUGCGUAGGUGGUUUGUUAAGUCUGAUGUGAAAGCCCUGGGCUCAACCUGGGAAUUGCAUUGGAUACUGGCAGGCUAGAGUGCGGUAGAGGAUGGCGGAAUUCCCGGUGUAGCAGUGAAAUGCGUAGAGAUCGGGAGGAACAUCUGUGGCGAAGGCGGCCAUCUGGACCAGCACUGACACUGAGGCACGAAAGCGUGGGGAGCAAACAGG
rnacentral:rRNA from 1 species